GUAACAUAUAGUUAAUGUACCUUCAAGACUGGGAUAGCCACUGGAAACGGUGAUUAAUACUAGAUAUACCUUCAUAUCACAAGCUAUGAAGGGAAACGUUUUUUCGCUUGAAGAUCAGACUAUAUCCCAUCAGUUAGUUGGUAGGGUAAUGGCCUACCAAGGCAAUGACGGGUAGCGGGUUUGAGAGGAUGAUCCGCCACACUGGUACUGAGACACGGACCAGACUCCUACGGGAGGCAGCAGUGAGGAAUAUUGCACAAUGGAGGAAACUCUGAUGCAGCAACGCCGCGUGGAGGAUGACGCAUUUCGGUGUGUAAACUCCUUUUAUGAGUCAAGAAAAUGACGGUAGCUCAUGAAUAAGCACCGGCUAACCCCGUGCCAGCAGCCGCGGUAAUACGGAGGGUGCAAGCGUUACUCGGAAUCACUGGGCGUAAAGGACGCGUAGGCGGGAUGUCAAGUCAGGUGUGAAAUCCUAUGGCUCAACCAUAGAACUGCAUUUGAAACUGGCAACCUAGAGUAUGGGAGGGGGAGAUGGAAUUAGUGGUGUAGGGGGUAAAAUCCGUAGAUAUCACUAGGAAUACCUAAAGCGAAGGCGAUCUCCUGGAACAUAACUGACGCUAAGGCGUGAAAGCGUGGGGAGCAAACAGGAUUAGAUACCCUGGUAGUCCACGCCCUAAACGAUGAACACUAGUCGUCGUGAUGCUUGUCAUUGCGGUGAUGCACUUAACAGAUUAAGUGUUCCGCCUGGGGAGUACGGUCGCAAGAUUAAAACUCAAAGGAAUAGACGGGGACCCGCACAAGUGGUGGAGCAUGUGGUUUAACUCGAAGAUACGCGAAAAACCUUACCUGGCCUUGACAUUGAUAGAAUCCAGCAGAGAUGCAGGAGUGCCCUUCGGGGAGCUUGAAAACAGGUGCUGCACGGCUGUCGUCAGCUCGUGUCGUGAGAUGUUGGGUUAAGUCCCGCAAC
rnacentral:rRNA from 1 species